rnacentral:rRNA from 1 species
GAUGAACGCUGGCGGCGUGCCUAAUACAUGCAAGUCGAGCGAACAGAUGAGGAGCUUGCUCCUCUGACGUUAGCGGCGGGCGGGUGAGUAACACGUGGAUAACCUACCUAUAAGACUGGGAUAACUUCGGGAAACCGGAGCUAAUACCGGAUAAUAUAUUGAACCGCAUGGUUCAAUAGUGAAAGACGGUUUUGCUGUCACUUAUAGAUGGAUCCGCGCCGCAUUAGCUAGUUGGUAAGGUAACGGCUUACCAAGGCAACGAUGCGUAGCCGACCUGAGAGGAGGAACAGCCACACGGGAAAUGAGCGACGGGCCAGAAGACGACGGGGGGAAGAAGUGGGGAAUAUUGGACAAGGGGUGAAAGCAUGAUCCAGCAAUGCAGAGGGUGUGAAGAAGGUCUUAGGAUUGUAAAGCACUUUGAGUUGGGAGGAAGGGAAGUAAGUUAAUACCUUGCUGUCUUGACGUUACCAACAGAAUAAGCCCCGGCUAACUUCGUG